GAAUCAACGCUGGCGGCGUGCCUAACACAUGCAAGUCGAACGAGAAAGUGGAGCAAUCCAUGAGUAAAGUGGCGCACGGGUGAGUAACACGUGACUAACCUACCCUUGAGUGGGGAAUAACUUCGGGAAACCGAGGCUAAUACCGCAUAACACCUACGGGUCAAAGGAGCAAUUCGCUUAAGGAGGGGGUCGCGGCAGAUUAGUUAGUUGGCGGGGUAAUGGCCCACCAAGACGGUGAUCUGAUCCGGCCUGAGAGGGCGCACGGACACACUGGAACUGAAACACGGUCCAGACUCCUACGGGAGGCAGCAGUGGGGAAUUUUGCGCAAUGGGGGAAACCCUGACGCAGCAACGCCGCGUGGAGGAUGAAGUCCCUUGGGACGUAAACUCCUUUCGAUCGGGACGAUUAUGACGGUACCGGAAGAAGAAGCCCCGGCUAACUUCGUGCCAGCCGCCGCCGUAAC
rnacentral:rRNA from 1 species